GACGAACGCUGGCGGCGUGCCUAAUACAUGCAAGUCGAACGAACCGCGACUAAGUGCUUGCACUAAGUCAAGGUGAGUGGCGAACGGGUGAGUAACACGUGGGUAACCUACCUCAUAGUGGGGGAUAACAGUCGGAAACGACUGCUAAUACCGCAUAGGACAUAGGAUCACAUGAUCCAGUGAGGAAAGGUGGCGCAAGCUAUCGCUAAGAGAUGGACCCGCGGUGCAUUAGCUAGUUGGUAGGGUAAAGGCCUACCAAGGCGAUGAUGCAUAGCCGACCUGAGAGGGUGAUCGGCCACAUUGGGACUGCGACACGGCCCAAACUCCUACGGGAGGCAGCAGUAGGGAAUCUUCCGCAAUGGACGCAAGUCUGACGGAGCAACGCCGCGUGAGUGAAGAAGGUCUUCGGAUCGUAAAGCUCUGUUGUUAGAGAAGAACAGCGCAUAGAGUAACUGCUAUGCGUGUGACGGUAUCUAACCAGAAAGCCACGGCUAACUACGUG
rnacentral:rRNA from 1 species